AAUAGAUACCCGGGUAGUCCAUGCCGUAAACGUUGGGCACUAGGUGUGGGUCUCAACCAACGAGAUCCGUGCCGCAGCUAACGCAUUAAGUGCCCCGCCUGGGGAGUACGGCCGCAAGGCUAAAACUCAAAGAAAUUGACGGGGGCCCGCACAAGCGGCGGAGCAUGUUGCUUAAUUCGAAGCAACGCGAAGAACCUUACCAGCCCUUGACAUGGCAGGACGACGUUCAGAGACGGACGUUUUCCCUUCGGGGGACCUGCACACAGGUGCUGCAUGGCUGUCGUCAGCUCGUGUCGUGAGAUGUUGGGUUAAGUCCCGCAACGAGCGCAACCCUCGCCCUUAGUUGCCAUCAUUAAGUUGGGCACUCUAGGGGGACUGCCGGUGAUAAGCCGGAGGAAGGUGGGGAUGAUGUCAAGCCUUCAUGGCCCUUACGGGCUGGGCUACACACGUGCUACAAUGGCGGUGACAGAGGGGCAGCGACCACGCGAGUGGAUGCUAAUCCCUAAAAGCCGUCUCAGUUCGGAUUGCACU
rnacentral:rRNA from 1 species